UGUAGAGAUCGGUGUAGAAAUGUUCAGCACCGGCGAACAUCAGUCGGCUUUUAAAAAUAGUCUGCGUGCAGAUAGAAAUGCCGCUGGCCUUUUGUGCGCGCGCACAGCCAAUGAGCGCGGAGCUGGUUGCUCAGAGCGCGCGCGCGUUUCUCCCCUUUCUGCCCAACUCUGACCUUGAGGGAGACAAUAAAAGAGGGUCAGAGCGCGCGCCUGGGGCAAGCCGAGCCACCGUGAGCCUUCCACAGGCUGUUCAUGAGAGAGAGGGGACAUACUUUCCGAAGUGUUAUACAUGCUCUCUGACCUGGAUAUGUGUGCUGUGAAAUGUGUGCAGGUGUUUUAAGGACCAGUUUCGCGUCCCGGAGUGUUUACUUGCGUCCAGCUUUAUGGAGCUGAUUGAGUUCUUCGAGAGCGCGCACAAGCAACCUGGGCCUGUGCACGCGCACGCGCAGGGAUUGGACGGUACUGUCUCAUCAAUCUGCGUCUCAAGCAGUGCAUCUCGUUUGGAAGCACAUAACAAAAAAAAUUGUACUGAAAAACAGCAUUGCUUAGUGAUGAAUGACUUGCAGAAAUACCUUGUGGAAUUCAAUGCCAGAAAAGAUGCAGGUCUGGAUCCCUGAUCAGUUGGAAGCCACAAUGUGGAGAUGAAAACAAAUCAGAUGUAAAGAAGAUGGAAGAAUUAUAUUGAUAAGAAAUUCACAGAACCUCCUCAUGGCUGUUCGGUGUGACAGGGAACCAUAACAAAUGGCUACCAGUCUACACUACUGCUGACAUCUCAGAUUUUCAGAAGCUCAGAUGCUUGAAAUUAUAUCUGCUUCAUUGCUGACAAUGCACACCAUGACUUGCUAGAAUUUUUGAGCAGUUGUACAUCAGUUUCACAACUGACAAACUUAAGCAGGGUUUUUUUAACCAGCACAUGUUCAUCUUGGAGCAAAAGGAAUAUAACAGGUGGCACUGAAUGGACUUUAUUGACGUUGGCUUAGACCUACAUUGACCUCAUUGACUAGGAGAAUCCUAACCUAAUGGCCAACCAGAUGAGCACUCGGUCUAACUUUGUAUGCUGCAGCAUUUGUGAAAUGCAGACCUACUGAAACUUGCACCCUGCAUCUACUAUUCCAAAGGACAAAUCGGACAGUGGGACAAUGAGACAAUGAGACUGUAGAGAAACUUCUAAGUUUGCUGUAUACUAACCACAUGCAAUACAGGUUAGCCAACACAAUGGUUAAAACAUCUUAAUCUGUUCUUUCUCCCUUCUAUAAUUUCUUCACCCUGAGUUCAUGACUCUGUUCCUCCUCAUCUGCUUGAUCACACAGAAGAUAUGAGCGAUAAGCAGAUAACAAAGAUUACCGGCAUGCUGUAGUAAUUCUGCUUAUGAUGAUUAAGGAAAAUAAUAAGCCUUCAAGUAUUUUUUGCAUACUUAAGUCAAAAUUAUUAACUGGUACCUUUUUUUUUUAUCAAAGUGCUUAAGAGUUGAAUGUGUUUUUGUAUGGCUGCAAUUUUAAGGAGGUAUGAGAGGAAUGUGUGAGGUAUGUUUAGCCUGUGAUGUGGCGUGUGUCCAACAUGUGUCCACAAACGCGUCCAUGAUUGUGUGUGGCCCCUUUGCAAGAAGCCUGUUAAACCCCUUCUACCCCAAAUAGCAUUGGCAAAAGCAGGUGUGGUGGUGGGUCAUGUGGUGGCUCAAAGGAACCCCGUGCCAGUUGUUGAGUAUUCUUUCCCAGUAUGACCCCCAUCCCCACAUUAUAAAUAACCCUCACUGCUUUGUUAGGAAUAGUUGCUGUCAAUAGCAUACACAUUGCUGAGAUACCAGCUCAGGUGAUUGAGGAUUAAGUCCUCUUGUUUCACCAUUGAGUUGGGUUGCAGAUAAUCAACAACCUCUCUCCAACCUCUGACUGAGUGUCUCUGAUUGUCAUGCCAUGCCAGCAAUGCGGAAUUGAUUUACUUUCCAGGCAUGUCUAGUGUCACCAUGGGCUUACUGAUAUAGAACACAAGACACAAUGGCGUGUGCUAGUCUGACCCUAUUUGGUGCUGGCCUCGCUGAGCUAAUUUAGAACAAUGGGGAGGAGGGAUUGAGUUCCACUAUCAAAAAGGAGGCUCUCACUCCUAAACUUGUACUCAAAUGAAAAGGAAGAAUACUUACUGCCAAAUUCUGUAAAUGUAAACGUACUGCAUACUAAUACAUUUAUAGGACUUGGAUUGAUCCUUUAUUUUUAUGCACUGUUUGCACUAGUUUGCCCACUAUGCACUUUCUGUGGCUAGGACAACUACUUUGUAGCACCAUAGUCUUGGAGGAACAUUGUUUUAUUUCAGUAUGUACUGUGUCAGGUAUACAUGGUUGAAAUGACAAUAAAAAACUUGUCCUUUUUCCUAAAGAAAGCAGAGACCUCGGGAUGUGGAUUGGUUAAGUAGGCAAGACAGUCCAUUAGAGCAAAUGUAAAAAUCUCUGGAUUAAGAGCGACAUCCAGGCACACUGGAUGAGCCUUUUGUUUGAAGUGGAUGAAGAUUGUGUAGAAAGGCCUAAUUGAGAUUUUUAUUUUAUUUUAAGAGGAAAACAAAUUGAGAAUUGAGCUGUAAUGUGAAAACGACUAUAUUAACUACAAUGGAGGGUUGGUUCAAUCCAAAAUCAACAUAGAUAUGUAUCCUCUUUAUAUAUUAUCUAUACGUAUGCAAGUUACAUAAAGGCCAAGUAGCAUGAAAAAAAUAAAGGCAAUGGAGCUCGAUGGGUAUAUAGUCAUCUGUAUGAUGUGGCAGUAACAGAUCACCAUAACAGCUGGUUCUUGAUCUGGAAAAGGUCCAAAUAGAUAUUGAACAAAUUGGCCAAAAUGUGCAAAACCUGGUGGAAUGAAAGUACAAGACCAUCCUGGACUAUUUCAGAAAGAUUUACCACAGUGCAGCACAGAGCAGAUAUGGACGAGUAUCUUGCAAAACAACUGUGCCUUUUCACGAAACAGGCACAUUGUUCAGCCAUGAUUGCCUAUAUUUAGAGUAGGUGACUUCACACAGUGAUGAAGCAUGCUCCUGAUUAAAUUUUUGGUUUUCACUUUGCUCUAUCCUAGAGAUUUCAUAUAGUAACAUGAUGUUAUUCAAAACUCGCAGAUGUUUCGAUGGCUGCCUGAGUACAAAAAUGACAAAGUUUUAAAUAAAGCAAAAUUAAAGAGAAUUAUUGGUGUGAUGUAUAUAUGUAAUAUG